AUCGCUUUUCCUCCUUUUGGCUGAGAUCAAGUGUAGAAUCUGUUCUUGUCAGUUUAAUAUCUGACACGUCCUCUAUCCAAGGACAAUAUAUUAAAUGGAUUUUUGGAGCAGGGAGUUGGAAUAAGACUUUGCUCCGUCCACUCCACGCAUCGACCUGUCAUUGCAGUACGUCCAGAAAUGGUGCAAAAAAG
ensembl:snRNA U2 U2 spliceosomal RNA